GGUUAAGCGACUAAGCGUACACGGUGGAUGCCCUGGCAGUCAGAGGCGAUGAAGGACGUGCUAAUCUGCGAUAAGCGUCGGUAAGGUGAUAUGAACCGUUAUAACCGGCGAUUUCCGAAUGGGGAAACCCAGUGUGAUUCGUCACACUAUCAUUAACUGAAUCCAUAGGUUAAUGAGGCGAACCGGGGGAACUGAAACAUCUAAGUACCCCGAGGAAAAGAAAUCAACCGAGAUUCCCCCAGUAGCGGCGAGCGAACGGGGAGGAGCCCAGAGCCUGAAUCAGUGUGUGUGUUAGUGGAAGCGUCUGGAAAGGCGCGCGAUACAGGGUGACAGCCCCGUACACAAAAAUGCACAUGCUGUGAGCUCGAUGAGUAGGGCGGGACACGUGGUAUCCUGUCUGAAUAUGGGGGGACCAUCCUCCAAGGCUAAAUACUCCUGACUGACCGAUAGUGAACCAGUACCGUGAGGGAAAGGCGAAAAGAACCCCGGCGAGGGGAGUGAAAAAGAACCUGAAACCGUGUACGUACAAGCAGUGGGAGCACGCUUAGGCGUGUGACUGCGUACCUUUUGUAUAAUGGGUCAGCGACUUAUAUUCUGUAGCAAGGUUAACCGAAUAGGGGAGCCGAAGGGAAACCGAGUCUUAACUGGGCGUUAAGUUGCAGGGUAUAGACCCGAAACCCGGUGAUCUAGCCAUGGGCAGGUUGAAGGUUGGGUAACACUAACUGGAGGACCGAACCGACUAAUGUUGAAAAAUUAGCGGAUGACUUGUGGCUGGGGGUGAAAGGCCAAUCAAACCGGGAGAUAGCUGGUUCUCCCCGAAAGCUAUUUAGGUAGCGCCUCGUGAAUUCAUCUCCGGGGGUAGAGCACUGUUUCGGCAAGGGGGUCAUCCCGACUUACCAACCCGAUGCAAACUGCGAAUACCGGAGAAUGUUAUCACGGGAGACACACGGCGGGUGCUAACGUCCGUCGUGAAGAGGGAAACAACCCAGACCGCCAGCUAAGGUCCCAAAGUCAUGGUUAAGUGGGAAACGAUGUGGGAAGGCCCAGACAGCCAGGAUGUUGGCUUAGAAGCAGCCAUCAUUUAAAGAAAGCGUAAUAGCUCACUGGUCGAGUCGGCCUGCGCGGAAGAUGUAACGGGGCUAAACCAUGCACCGAAGCUGCGGCAGCGACGCUUAUGCGUUGUUGGGUAGGGGAGCGUUCUGUAAGCCUGCGAAGGUGUGCUGUGAGGCAUGCUGGAGGUAUCAGAAGUGCGAAUGCUGACAUAAGUAACGAUAAAGCGGGUGAAAAGCCCGCUCGCCGGAAGACCAAGGGUUCCUGUCCAACGUUAAUCGGGGCAGGGUGAGUCGACCCCUAAGGCGAGGCCGAAAGGCGUAGUCGAUGGGAAACAGGUUAAUAUUCCUGUACUUGGUGUUACUGCGAAGGGGGGACGGAGAAGGCUAUGUUGGCCGGGCGACGGUUGUCCCGGUUUAAGCGUGUAGGCUGGUUUUCCAGGCAAAUCCGGAAAACUAAGGCUGAGGCGUGAUGACGAGGCACUACGGUGCUGAAGCAACAAAUGCCCUGCUUCCAGGAAAAGCCUCUAAGCAUCAGGUAACAUCAAAUCGUACCCCAAACCGACACAGGUGGUCAGGUAGAGAAUACCAAGGCGCUUGAGAGAACUCGGGUGAAGGAACUAGGCAAAAUGGUGCCGUAACUUCGGGAGAAGGCACGCUGAUAUGUAGGUGAAGUCCCUCGCGGAUGGAGCUGAAAUCAGUCGAAGAUACCAGCUGGCUGCAACUGUUUAUUAAAAACACAGCACUGUGCAAACACGAAAGUGGACGUAUACGGUGUGACGCCUGCCCGGUGCCGGAAGGUUAAUUGAUGGGGUUAGCGCAAGCGAAGCUCUUGAUCGAAGCCCCGGUAAACGGCGGCCGUAACUAUAACGGUCCUAAGGUAGCGAAAUUCCUUGUCGGGUAAGUUCCGACCUGCACGAAUGGCGUAAUGAUGGCCAGGCUGUCUCCACCCGAGACUCAGUGAAAUUGAACUCGCUGUGAAGAUGCAGUGUACCCGCGGCAAGACGGAAAGACCCCGUGAACCUUUACUAUAGCUUGACACUGAACAUUGAGCCUUGAUGUGUAGGAUAGGUGGGAGGCUUUGAAGUGUGGACGCCAGUCUGCAUGGAGCCGACCUUGAAAUACCACCCUUUAAUGUUUGAUGUUCUAACGUUGACCCGUGAUCCGGGUUGCGGACAGUGUCUGGUGGGUAGUUUGACUGGGGCGGUCUCCUCCUAAAGAGUAACGGAGGAGCACGAAGGUUGGCUAAUCCUGGUCGGACAUCAGGAGGUUAGUGCAAUGGCAUAAGCCAGCUUGACUGCGAGCGUGACGGCGCGAGCAGGUGCGAAAGCAGGUCAUAGUGAUCCGGUGGUUCUGAAUGGAAGGGCCAUCGCUCAACGGAUAAAAGGUACUCCGGGGAUAACAGGCUGAUACCGCCCAAGAGUUCAUAUCGACGGCGGUGUUUGGCACCUCGAUGUCGGCUCAUCACAUCCUGGGGCUGAAGUAGGUCCCAAGGGUAUGGCUGUUCGCCAUUUAAAGUGGUACGCGAGCUGGGUUUAGAACGUCGUGAGACAGUUCGGUCCCUAUCUGCCGUGGGCGCUGGAGAACUGAGGGGGGCUGCUCCUAGUACGAGAGGACCGGAGUGGACGCAUCACUGGUGUUCGGGUUGUCAUGCCAAUGGCACUGCCCGGUAGCUAAAUGCGGAAGAGAUAAGUGCUGAAAGCAUCUAAGCACGAAACUUGCCCCGAGAUGAGUUCUCCCUGACUCCUUGAGAGUCCUGAAGGAACGUUGAAGACGACGACGUUGAUAGGCCGGGUGUGUAAGCGCAGCGAUGCGUUGAGCUAACCGGUACUAAUGAACCGUGAGGCUUAACCUU
rnacentral:rRNA from 1 species